CCUACGGGAGGCAGCAGUGAGGAAUAUUGGUCAAUGGACGAGAGUCUGAACCAGCCAAGUAGCGUGAAGGAUGACUGCCCUAUGGGUUGUAAACUUCUUUUAUAAAGGAAUAAAACGAGGCACGUGUGCCUUUUUGCAUGUACUUUAUGAAUAAGGAUCGGCUAACUCCGUGCCAGCAGCCGCGGUAAUACGGAGGAUCCGAGCGUUAUCCGGAUUUAUUGGGUUUAAAGGGAGCGUAGAUGGGUUGUUAAGUCAGUUGUGAAAGUUUGCGGCUCAACCGUAAAAUUGCAAUUGAUACUGGCAGUCGUGAGUACAGUUGAGGUAGGCGGAAUUCGUGGUGUAGCGGUGAAAUGCUAAGAUAUCACGAAGAACCCCGAUUGCGAAGGCAGCUUACUAAACUGUGACUGACAUUGAUGCUCGAAAGUGUGGGUAUCAAACAGGAUUAGAUACCCGAGUAGUC
rnacentral:rRNA from 1 species